UUCUGACGCUGUCGACGGAGGAUCUUCUUCAAGAAUUGAGAGAAGCUGGAAUACAUGUCACUGAAGACGAAGCACAGAAAUUCAGAGAAAAUGAGGUGGAUGGGGAAACAGUAGAGUGUGGUCUCACGGAGAACAUGAUCUCACAUUUAUUUCAAGGCUCCUUUAAAAAAUAGGCCAAGUUUAACAAAUUUGUACACGAGAUGGAGGUGGUAACAAUAACACUAUAAACAGUGCCAGCAGAAUCCUAUCAACAAACUUUGACUACAGAAAUGCGAUUGCUGUCAUUGGUGAGGAUGCAUCCUCUGUUGAGGGUCAUGUGAAUGUCCUGCAUAUCCAGUACAGCAAAGUGCGACCAGACACCUUGGUGGUCAAAGACCGAUUGCAGUGAACGUUUGCGUGGCAAAGAAGGGAGAUAAGAGAUGGAAUGACUGUGGAG